UGCAUCUGCAGUUCAUGAGGAUGAGAACCUCCGGGGGCGGGGAGGUUCGACUCGAGCGAAGCGAGAGAACGUUGCGCCAGCAACGGCCCGCAGGGCGAGCCACGAAGUGGCGAGUAAUCCUCUAUCACCGACCA
rnacentral:sRNA from 1 species